GGUGGCCAAGCUUCCAAAAACUCAACAAGCAACGUCAAGCAACUAGCAAGUUAAAAUUUAACUUUUAUAAGUAAAAUGUAAAUAUGACUACAUAGCGCACUGCGCAGCCUACAUUUCACAAUCAUAGCAACAGAGGCCCUACUAAUUGCCAGCAAAACUGAUUGCGUACAUCAAUGUUUAUUUGCUCGGAUUCCUUUUUUGCAAUGAAUGUUACCUGAAUUGCUACAGGAUUGCUAGCCCCUUGAUA